GAACAGAAGUGUUUCAGAUUUUGGAUUUUUUCAGAUUUGGGAAUAUUUGCAUUAUGUACUUACUGAUCGAGCAUCCCAAACUCAAAAAUCUGAAAU
rnacentral:miRNA from 1 species